rnacentral:rRNA from 1 species
UGCCAGCCGCCGCGGUAAUACGAAGGGUGCUAGCGUUGUUCGGAAUCAUUGGGCGUAAAGCGCGUGUAGGCGGCUUGGCAAGUCGGAUGUGAAAGCCCGGGGCUCAACCCCGGAAUUGCAUUCGAAACUGCUUGGCUAGAGUCUCGGAGAGGAGGGCGGAAUUCCCGGUGUAGAGGUGAAAUUCGUAGAUAUUAGGAAGAACACCAGUGGCGAAGGCGACUUCCUGGCUCGUAACUGACGCUGAGGCACGAAAGCGUGGGGAGCAAACAGGAUUAGAUA